rnacentral:rRNA from 1 species
GAGCGGCAGCGGGAAGUAGCUUGGUACUUUGCCGGCGAGCGGCGGACGGGUGAGUAUGUCUGGGAAACUGCCUGAUGGAGGGGGAUAACUACUGGAAACGGUAGCUAAUACCGCAUGACCUCGAAAGAGCAAAGUGGGGGACCUUCGGGCCUCACGCCAUCGGAUGUGCCCAGAUGGGAUUAGCUAGUAGGUGAGGUAAUGGCUCACCUAGGCGACGAUCCCUAGCUGGUCUGAGAGGAUGACCAGCCACACUGGAACUGAGACACGGUCCAGACUCCUACGGGAGGCAGCAGUGGGGAAUAUUGCACAAUGGGCGCAAGCCUGAUGCAGCCAUGCCGCGUGUGUGAAGAAGGCCUUCGGGUUGUAAAGCACUUUCAGCGAGGAGGAAGGCUUCAAGGUUAAUAACCUUGUUGAUUGACGUUACUCGCAGAAGAAGCACCGGCUAACUCCGUGCCAGCAGCCGCGGUAAUACGGAGGGUGCAAGCGUUAAUCGGAAUUACUGGGCGUAAAGCGCACGCAGGCGGUUUGUUAAGUCAGAUGUGAAUCCCCGAGCUUAACUUGGGACUGCAUUGAGACUGGC